rnacentral:rRNA from 1 species
GAUCCUGGCUCAGGAUGAACGCUAGCGACAGGCUUAACACAUGCAAGUCGAGGGGCAGCGGGGAGUAGCAAUACUUCGCCGGCGACCGGCGCACGGGUGAGUAACACGUGUGCAACCAACCCCGUACCGGGAGAUAACCCGCGGAAACGUGGACUAACAUCCCAUGAUACUCGAGGGCCGCAUGGCUCUCGAUUUAAAAUUCCGGUGGUACGGGACGGGCACGCGCGACAUUAGGUAGUUGGCGGGGUAACGGCCCACCAAG